rnacentral:misc_RNA from 1 species
AGGUGGGGCUGAUGACUGGGGUGAAGUCGUAACAAGGUAGCCGUACCGGAAGGUGCGGCUGGAUCACCUCCUAACAGGGAGACAAUAAAUUGAUUGUGAUGUCUAAGUUAUUUAUUCUUAGGCCGCAAUCCUGUCACCUUAAGGUCGAUCGGUACCUCAGAUUUUUGAAUUAGUUUUAGAAUUGAUUCUUUGAUUUCAGUUCCUAAACUUGUCUAGGUCACACCCAACAAAGGUUUCUCCUGGGCCAUUAGCUCAGGUGGUUAGAGCGCACCCCUGAUAAGGGUGAGGUCCCUGGUUCAAGUCCAGGAUGGCCCAUUCGUUGUUGGGGGUAUAGCUCAGUUGGUAGAGCGCCUGCUUUGCAAGCAGGAUGUCAGCGGUUCGAGUCCGCUUACCUCCACUGAAAACUAUCCUGAUAACUAAAUUCUGGAGAAAAAUUGUAAAUGUGGCUUAGAAUUGUCUAUUGAAAAAGAA